UAGAAAGGGGUAACGUAAAAAGAUAGGAAAUUAAAUUCGCUAAAGUAGGGAAUUUAGCGAUUUCCAAAGCGUUUCUGAUAAGCAAAAAUUUAAAGUUUUGUAUUAUAUUCGACAGUUUUUGAAAAUACAUAUCAUAGUCAAAACCAAAUCUCAUACAACCUUUUUGCCUCCACAUACAUACAUACAUAUAUGUAUAUGGGUAAGUGUACUUAAUCUACAAACGUAACGUUAUGCUCAACACGCGCAACAUCUCAAGCAAAUUUACUGUCUAACUAACGAACUCGUCCGAAUGCUGGGGGAAGACCAGAAGGUUGCGCAGUCUCAAACAAACAAUCAAUAGCUAUGCCUUAAAAUAACCAUAGCUCUAAUCGCAAAGCCAAUGGAGGCAAGGUAGCAGGGCUACACUACAAAAUCGAAGCAAUGGACAGUGCGGCGACUUAGCGACCAGCAAUAAGUGAACUGGUUUUCUCAGCUCAUUAAGGAAGAAAACUAGUUUUGGGGUUUUCCUUUGAAGCCAGCGAUAAAUAAACGAAUAAAGCAACAAGUGUGCGCGUGUGUGUAUAGUAGUAGGAAGUUAAGUAAAGAGCUUGAUCAUAGUGGGAAAGACCAGUGAGCAGUGAGUGGAAGAAAAGGGGAAUAGUAGAGAGAAGAUAUAUAGAUAUUUGCAAGAGAAGAUAUAUAGAUAUUUGAAAGAGAAUUGAGUAUUUUAAUAGAGCGGAAGAAGACAUGAUCAAAACGAGGAAGUCCGCGAUAAAUUAAAGCCGUUAAAAUUUAAAUGGAUAACUUUUUCUCUACAGCGGACAUAAAAAUUAGCUCUGGAGUUGAAAAAAUUUUAACAAUUUUAAUCAAAUAUUUAGCUAUUAAAUUCAUGUGAACUAAAUAACUGAGUUGCAUUUUUGUAUAUCUUUAUUUGGACUUAUUAUUUUAAUAUGUUUAGGUAUUACAUAUAUCGGUAAUAAAAGCAAAAAAUUAGCGACUUCAAAAAUUCGAAAAUAGCGUAGUACAUACAUGAAAUUCUUCUGUAGUAAUUGAUUUUCUAAUUACAUACAUAAAUGUGUAUGCGUAUCAAAUAACAAACCGGCACAGAUAUACAUAUUUAUCUAUUGGCUUAACAAAGUGCAUUAUGAAAUUGUUUAUAUCUACAUAAACGUGUGCAUUUGAAUAGUAAUAGUAAUAUAUAGAAAUCUGUAGGUAUACUCUACACUAUCUACAUAUCUGAUCAAGAACUCUGUAAAUGUGUAAAGUACUAGGUGCAUUCUUUUGCAACCGAGCUACAAAAGAACACUCGCUUAAAUGACAAAAUACACGCAAAGCAACAACGCAAACUCGGCUAUUUAUCCGAGCUCAACCAGGUCGGUUAAAAAAUACGCGACCUGAAGGGUAGUGUUGUUAAGUGAAAAAAACUGCUCUAUUGCGAAUUGUUAAUGGGAAAGUGGAGAGGGAAAUUUUUGUUUCCUUGUAUACGUGACUUAUGUUUUAAACAAGUAUAUAUAUUACGCGAAUACCUCGCAUAAUUACUCAAUCAAAUUGGUUUUUGUAUUUAAAUCCCGUUAAACAAAUCACACGUUUCUUAUCAGCUACCAACAGGGUUGCUUAAGUAGCUAAAAGGAAAUUUUUACCCGAAUUGAGCGUUCUUUUGUCGCUCGCUUACAAAAAAAUGCAGUACUAUUUAUGUAAUUAAACCGGCGCCAAUAUAUUUAACUAUGUAUGUACUAUGUAGAUCGUAUUGAACACCAACUUUGAUGUAGUUGAUUUUUUAAUAUUAUUUACUAACACAAAAUUGAUUUACGGUCUGAGAUCGCUUAAAUAAGACUACAAAUACAAAGUAUGCAUAAUAUUUUACGUCUUAGACGGAUUUAAAAUAUCAGCUUGCGUUAAGUUUCAGUUGUAUUUGAAGAUGGGGUAGGGCUAAAAUAUUUACACUUGUCCACGGAACAAAAGAGGUCCGAUGCCUUGACCUGUUCUGACAAUGAGCUUGUUCGAGUUGCAAUCAGAACUGCAGUAUUGCGCGAAUCAUUAAAGUAUCACGUUCGGUGUUAAAUUCUAGCAAUGUUGUAUCACUUGAGAAUUUGCAACAGUGUUGCACAUUUUCAUCAGUGCUGCAGUCUUGCCGAUUUUAUUACGAACCUCGAACAAGUCCAAUUUCUCUUUUUAUUUGAUGUUAUUUGUACAAAAAUUAUAAAAAUUCUACAAAGUUUCACCAAAAUGUCAAAUGCAGUUUUGUAGCCUAUUAAAUUGUAGUGUAAUGAUGAGCAAGUUUCAUGCUGCUAAAAAUAUCGUUGAUUUUUUAGCAUUGUCUUCCAUAUAAAAGAAAAUUACUUGUGUGGAAAAAAUGCGAAACACCUUCAACAAAAAAAGUCUUGAAAAUCAACGGGAGUUUUUACCAACAUGAAACAUGCAUUUUCUAAUAAUAAAGUUUAGUGGGCUAUAAACAUGCAUACGAAUUUUGUGUAAAGA